rnacentral:rRNA from 1 species
GAUGAACGCUGGCGGCGUGCCUAAUACAUGCAAGUCGAGCGAACGGACGAGAAGCUUGCUUUUCUGAUGUUAGCGGCGGACGGGUGAGUAACACGUGGAUAACCUACCUAUAAGACUGGGAUAACUUCGGGAAACCGGAGCUAAUACCGGAUAAUAUUUUUAACCGCAUGGUUCAUAAGUGAAAGACGGUCUUGCUGUCACUUAUAGAUGGAUCCGCGCUGCAUUAGCUAGUUGGUAAGGUAACGGCUUACCAAGGCAACGAUGCAUAGCCGACCUGAGAGGGUGAUCGGCCACACUGGAACUGAGACACGGUCCAGACUCCUACGGGAGGCAGCAGUAGGGAAUCUUCCGCAAUGGGCGAAAGCCUGACGGAGCAAAGCCGCGUGAGUGAUGAAGGUCUUCGGAUCGUAAAACUCUGUUAUUAGGGAAGAACAUAUGUGUAAGUAACUGUGCACAUCUUGACGGUACCUAAUCAGAAAGCCACGGCUAACUACGUG